GACGAACGCUGGCGGCGCGCUUAACACAUGCAAGUCGAACGGUGAACCGGGCUUCGGCCCGGGGAUCAGUGGCGAACGGGUGCGUAACACGUGGGCAACCUGCCCCUCACCCUGGGAUAACCCCGGGAAACCGGAGCUAAUACCGGAUACUCCGACCGGUCCGCAUGGUCUGGUCGGGAAAGGUCCGCCGGUGAGGGAUGGGCCCGCGGCCUAUCAGCUUGUUGGUGGGGUAACGGCCUACCAAGGCGACGACGGGUAGCUGGUCUGAGAGGACGACCAGCCACACUGGGACUGAGAUACGGCCCAGACUCCUACGGGAGGCAGCAGUGGGGAAUCUUGCGCAAGGGGCGAAAGCCUGACGCAGCGACGCCGCGUGGGGGACGAAGGCCCUCGGGUUGUAAACCCCUUUCGGCAGGGACGAAGCGAUCGUGACGGUACCUGCAGAAGAAGCCUCGGCUAACUACGUGCCAGCAGCCGCCGUAACAC
rnacentral:rRNA from 1 species